rnacentral:rRNA from 1 species
CAGCAGCCACGGGAACACGGAGGGUGCAAGCGUUAAUCGGAAUUACUGGGCGUAAAGCGCACGCAGGCGGUCUGACAAGUCAGAUGUGAAAUCCCCGGGCUUAACCUGGGAACUGCAUUUGAAACUGUCAGGCUGGAGUCUUGUAGAGGGGGGUGGAAUUCCAGGUGUAGCGGUGAAAUGCGUAGAGAUCUGGAGGAAUACCGGUGGCGAAGGCGGCCCCCUGGACAAAGACUGACGCUCAGGUGCGAAAGCGUGGGGAGCAAACAGGAUUAGAUACCCCUGUAGUCCCUGUCUCUUAUAU